AUGUACUGGGAUGACAAGUACGGAACACAUAGCGUGUCCCCAGAGGUCAUAUCAAACAUGAGAGUAUUGAUGACAGAAGACUCCAACAAUCCUGUAAGCAAUUCGUUUCUACUGGAUGAUGACUCAAGCAUACCGUUCUCCGUCGAUGACAUAUCCAAAUCAAUGCAGCAGAUUGACAUAUCUGACAUCGAACCGCCCCCACUCAUCCGGGAGAACUCGGGCUUUGUAUUCUUGUUGCCGCCCCCUGAAUAA
rnacentral:rRNA from 1 species